rfam:Clostridium tyrobutyricum DIVETGP, WGS project CBXI01000000 data, contig: NODE_3
ACCUAGGGUAGAGGUGCUGUAAUUAAGAGUAUUUGAUUUUAGCUGGCAGGUGUUAUUAAAUUCAAAGAAAGGAAUUACAGCCGAAGGAGAUAAUUUGGCGGGAUUAUCUUUUGGACUUGUAUAGAAUAUAUUCAGGUCUGUCACUAGAUUUAAAUUAUUUUUAGUGGAGAGCUACAAAGGUA